rnacentral:misc_RNA from 1 species
GAUGAAGAACGUAGCGAAAUGCGAUAAGUAGUGUGAAUUGCAGAAUUCAGUGAAUCAUCGAAUCUUUGAACGCACAUUGCGCCCCUUGGUAUUCCAUGGGGCAUGCCUGUUCGAGCGUCAUUUGAACCUUCAAGCUCUGCUUGGUGUUGGGUGAUUGUCUAUCUUUAUAGACUCGCCUUAAAGUCAUUGGCAGCCGGCAUAUUGGCCUGGGAGCGCAGCACAAGUCGCGCUUCUUGUCAUGAAUGUUGGCGUCCAGUAAGUCUACAUAUUUUGCUCUUGACCUCGGAUCAGGUAGGGAUACCCGCUGAACUUAAGCAUAUCAAUAAGCGGAGGA